rnacentral:lncRNA from 1 species
UUCAGACUUGCUAGAGUUUUAAAAUCUCAAUCUCUCUAUGCAGCCGCCAACCCCUUUCCUCUCUUGGACAAAAUUUCAACUCGCUUUCACCAUGAAAUCAGAAUGGUUUCACCAUUUUCGCCAAAGUCUUCAUUUUCUCUCUUGCAUAUUCAGUGAAAAGCCGAAAACUUUGGUAUCAAAGUUGACCAAAUCGCUAUUUUUCUGAAGCAAGAGAACGAUUUUGUUGAUCUUCUUUCUGUCACAAUUUUGACGGAUCUUGAACGAGCAAUUUUGAAUUUCAAGCGGAUCUUUCAAUUCCCGCUUCCAAAACCCUAGUUUUCUCCUAUAAAUACUCCCCAACUCUCCAGCCGAAAGAUCAUCUGGGAAUCCUCAAAAAAUAGUUAGAACUUGGCAAAAUCGAGUCACCAAGUAAUUCUCUUCUUUAAUCUCUGUCUCUAUUUAGUUCGCUAAAACAAUGUUUCAAUCUUGUUACGUGGAGGGAGUAGAUCUGAAAUCUCAAAGUUUUAGUCCAUUGCCUCUAAAAAGGUACACUUUGGAGCAACUUUUUGAGUCUCAAUGCGAGACUCGUUGUCGCCAUGAAGUUGCCACUGCUGCAUUUCCUCUACCAUAUUUCUCUUUCGUAGACCUGAUAAUUCGUGUGGGAUAGACACAAGAAAAAUGCCAAAGUUAAAUUUGGUCAUCCCUAGAAAGGGGAUGGAUUAUCAUUGUUAUUCGGCAUUUUAUUAACUGCUUUUUAUAUAUUUUGUUUACUAUCACUCUUAAUUAAUUCUUGCAUGAAUGUGUAAGGGUAACCAAUACAGUUAAAAUUGAAUUAGUUAUCCCAGCAAUACCUAUCUGCCUAAGUAGUGCUUAUGAAAUUAGUUUAACUGAAUAAUGGUUAAGUCAAUAUGGGCUGAUCCUAGUUUUAGUCCAAUUAGAAUUUUUUCCUUACUAAGUAUUCUUUUUAUAAUACUCAAGCUAACUAUCUUGUAAAUCAAUGUCAUGCUUUGUUCAUCUAUUAGAGCUUUUAAACAAAUAAAAAAUACAUUUGCUUUCUUAACUAUUCUUAACUUCAAGCCUUUACGAUUUUUAAUUAAAGCCUUUGGGCAUUUUCGUCCAGUGUCCUUUUGGAGUUAAUAUCCUAAAAUCAAAUUUGAGUUUUCAAAUGACAUAUAAUAUUUUGUGAAAUAUUUUAACUCUUGUAGUCUAAUAGUCUUACAAAGCUUUAGUUAAAUUACACUAAGUCUGAAGGUAACCGCGUCUCAUGCGGAUCUUGAGGGGCGCCUCACACCUUCCGUUAAGUUAAUUUGAACCAUUACCUUAGAAUCUCUCAUAUUUAGUAAACUUCAAUGGAAUUUAACUUUACAUUAUCUUGUUUAAAAUAAGUGUCCUAAUUCACCUUUAAAAGGAUUAUGUGACGACUCUUUAAUUAAUAAUUAAUUCAGGAAUCACCAAUAUGUUAUACUCUAAUUUGACCUGGUUAAAAUAGGGUAUAACAAAGGCUCGGCGUAUGGUCGAGAAGGGGUGUUUGGCCUAUUUGGCAUAUGUUCGUUAUUCUAGUGCCGAGGUUCCUUCUAUUGAUUCUGUGCUUGUUGUUCGUGAGUUCCCUAAGGUAUUUCCUUUAGACCUGUCGGGUAUGCCAUCGGACAAGGAUAUUGACUUCUGCAUUGAUUUAGCUCCGGGCACUCAGCCCAUUUCUAUCUUGUCGUAUCGUAUGGCUCCGCUUGAGUUGAAAGAGUUGAAGGAGCAGUUGCAAGACUUGCUUGAGAAGUGUUUCAUUAGACCCAGUGUUUCGCCUUGGGGUGCGUCGGUGUUGUUUGUUAAGAAGAAGGAUGGAUCAAUGAGAAUGUGUAUUGAUUACCGGCAGUUGAACAAGGUUACAAUCAAGAAUAAGUAUCUGUUGCGGAGGAUUGAUGAUUUGUUUGAUCAGCUUCAGGGUGCCAAGGUAUUUUCGAAGAUUGACUUGAGAUCUGGCUACCAUCAGUUGAGGAUUAGGUUAUCUGAUGUCCCUAAAAUAGCUUUCCGCACUGGUUACGGGCAUUAUGAGUUCUUGGUGAUGUCAUUCGAGUUGACAAAUGCCCCAGCAGCUUUUAUGGAUUUGAUGAACCGAGUGUUCAGGCCUUACUUGGAUUCGUUCGUGAUAGUAUUCAUUGAUGAUAUUUUGAUUUAUUCCCUCAGCCGGGAAGAGCACGAGCAGCAUCUUCGAGUGGUUCUUCAGACUCUGAGGGAUAGUCAGUUGUAUGCUAAGUUUUCGAAAUAUGAGUUCUGGUUGAGUUCAGUUGCAUUCCUGGGUCAUGUUGUAUCAGCAGAGGGUAUUUAGGUUGAUCUGAAGAAGAUUGAGGCAGUCAAGAAUCGGCCUAGACCAGCAUCAGCUACAGAGAUCUGGAGUUUCUUNNNNNNNNNNNNNNNNNNNNNNNNNAGGGUGCCUAGUUCAGGGGGUUGGAUUAGUGUGAGGCAAGCUUUCAGAAGCUCAAGACAGCUUUGACUACAGCUCCGGUGUUGGUUUUGCCUACAGGUUCAGGGCUAUAUACAGUUUAUUAUGAUGUAUCUCGUAUUGGUAUUUGUGCGGUGUUGAUGCAGGAUGGCAAGGUCAUUGCCUAUGCUUCGCGACAGUUGAAGAUUCAUCAGAAGAGCUAUCCUAUUCAUGAUUUGGAGUUGGCAGUCACUGUUCAUGCGUUGAAGAUUUGGAGGCAUUAUCUGUAUGGCGUGGCAUGUGAGGUGUUCACGGAUCACAAUAGUUUGUAGUAUUUGUUCAAGCAAAUGGAGUUGAAUUUGAGGUAGAGAAGGUAGUUGGAGCUAUUAAAGGACUAUGAUAUCACCAUCUUAUAUCAUUCAGGAAAGGCCAAUGUGGUGGCCGAUGCUUUGAGUAGGAAGUUAGCCAGUAUGGGCAGUCUUGCUUAUAUUCCGGUCGGUGAGAGGCCGCUUGCUUUGGAUGUUCAAGCUUUAGCCAAUCAGUUCAUGAGGUUGGAUGUUUCUAAUCCCAGUCAUGUGUUAGCUUGCACGGUCACUCGUUCUUCUUUAUUAGAGCGUAUCCGAGAUCGGCAGUAUGAUGAUCCCUAUUUGUGUGUCCUUAGAGAUGCGGUGCAGCACGGAGGUGUCAAGCAGGUUACCUUAGGUGAUGAUGGAGUUUUGAGAUUGCAGGGUCGAGUUUGUGUGCAUAAUGUGGAUGGACUUCGAGAGUUGAUUUUAGAGGAAGCCUAUAGCUGCCGAUACUCUAUUCAUCCGGGCACCGCGAAGAUGUAUCAAGAUUUGCGGCAGCAUUAUUGGUGGUGGAGAAUGAAGAUGGAUAUCAUUGCAUAUGCGGCUCGGUGUUUGAAUUGUCAGCAGAUUAAGUAUGAGCAUCUGAGGCCUGGUGGUUUGUUCCAGAAGAUCGAGAUUCCUGAGUGGAAGUGGGAAUGGAUCACUAUGGACUUCGUUGUUGGACUCCCAUGGACUCAGAGGAAGUUCGAUGCAGUGUGAGUUAUUGUUAUAGGCUGACCAAGUCAGCGCAUUUCAUCCCUCUAGCAGUCUCUUAUUCUUUUGAGAGGUUAGAUGAGAUCUAUAUCCGGGAGAUUGUUCGUCUUCACGGUGUGCCCGUGUCUAUUAUUUCGGACCGAGGUAUGCAGUUUACCUCACAUUUCUGGAUAGCAGUUCAGCGAGAGUUGGGCACACGGGUUGAGGUGAGCACAACAUUUCAACCUCAGACGGACGGGCAGUCCGAGCGGACUAUUCAGAUUUUGGAGGAUAUGCUCCGAGCUUGUGUCAUUGACCUUGAAGGCUCGUGGGAUCAGUUUUUGCCUUUAGCAGAGUUUGCCUACAACAACAGCUACCAAUCGAGUAUUUAGAUUGCUUCUUAUGAGGCUUAUAUGGUAGGAAGUGUCAGUCUCCGGUUGGAUGGUUUGAACCAGGAGAGGCUCGGUUGUUGGGUACGGAUCUGGUUCAGGAUGCCUUGGACAAGGUCAGGAUUAUUCAGGAUAGGCUUCGUACAGCUCAGUCCAAGCAAACGAGCUAUGCCGACCGCAAGGUUCGAGAUUUGGCUUUCAUGGUCGGUGAGUGGGUAUUGCUUCGAGUGUCGCCUAUGAAGGGCGUGAUGAGAUUUGGGGAGAAGGGCAAGCUUAGCCCUAGGUUCAUUGGCCCGUUUGAGAUUCUUGAUCGAGUGGGAGAUGUGGCUUACAGACUUGCAUUGCCGCCAAGCUUAUCAGCCGUGCAUCUAGUGUUUCAUGUGUCCAUGCUUCGGAAAUAUCACGGCUAUCCAUCCUACGUGUUAGAUUUCAGCACUGUCCAAUUGGACAAGGACUUGUCUUAUAAGGAUGAGUCGGUAACUAUUCUAGACCGGCAGGUUCGUCAGUUGAGAUCGAAGAGUUUUCCUUCUAUUCGUGUUCAGUGGAGAGGUUAGCCUGCUGAGGCAUCGACCUGGGAGUCCAAGUCCGAUAUGCGGAGCCGUUAUCCUCAUCUUUUCCCCGACUCAGGCACUUUCUUUUUAUGUCCAUUCGAGGACGAACGUUUGUUUUAGAGGUGGAAAAUGUGAUGAACUUUUCCUCACUUGUUUUUAAAAUGAAUUCCGCGUUCCGAGGCCUUAAAAACCUCUUUCGUCAUCACCUUGAUUUGAGUGCACAGUCCGGGCACGUAGCCGAAAAACCAUUUUUGUAAAAAUCUGUGAAAAUGAUGAAUUUUGACUUUACAAUGAAUUUAAGUUGACUUCGGUCAAUAUUUUGGGUAAACUAACCUGGACCGUGAUUUAAUGGUCCUGGAGGAUCUGUGGAAAAAUAUGGGACAUGGGCAUAUGCUCGGAAUCAAAUUCCGAGGUCCCAAGCCCGAGAAAUGAAUUAUUAAAGAAAAUUGUUUUCUAGAAAUUUCUAUGAGUUUUAGAAAUGAAAUGUAUUUAGAAUUUGAUGGUAUUGGGCCCGUAUUCUGGUUUCGGAGCCCGGUACAGGUCUUAUAUGAGAAAUAAGAUGAGUCUGUAAAAUUUGGUAAGAAACGGAAGUCGUUUGAGGUGAUUCAGACCCGUAGUUGUGAAAAUUCAUACUUUGAAAGUGUUGAGAUUUUUCUUAGAUUUCUAUGCUAAUUCGUUGUUUAAGAGGUUAUUUUAGUGAUUUGAUCGCACGGAUAAGUUCAUAUGAUGUUUUUGAGUUAGUACGCAUAUUUGGUUUGGAGCCCCGAGAGCUCGGGUGAGUUUCGGAUAGGUCUCGGGAGGUUUUUGAACUUAUGAAAGUUGUAGGUUUUUGCUGUUCAGUGCACAAGGGUUUUGUUCUUCGCGUUCGCGUGGUCCCACUCGCGAACGCGUAAGGCAAAUUUUUCAGGUGCCAGUUUUCUUCUUCGCGAAUGCGAAGCCUGAGACGCGAACGCUAAGCUGAGGGGGGAGUACCCUUCGUGAACGCGUCCAGGCACUCGCGAACGCGUAAGGCAAUUGGCCUGGGGGGGGGGGGGUUCUUACUUGUUCUAUGCGAACGCGGCCACUGGCCUACGAACGCGAAGGCUCGAGGGGUCAAAGCUCCGCGAACGCGAGCCUAAGGUAACGAACGCGAAGGUCACCUAGGCCUAACUCAUCGCAAACGGGACAGGCCUAUCGCGAACGCGAUGAAUGCCUAUCCAGUGAUUUUAAAACUGAAGCAAAACAGGACUUAACCAAAAUUUCAUAACUUCUUCUUCCAAACUCCAAAUUGGGCGAUUUUUGAAAGAGAAUUUCAUCACAAAUCCAUAGGUAUGUAAUCUUAGGCUCAUUUUCUUCAAUUUCCAUUAACGCCCAUUAGAUUUCUAGGCUUAAAUCAUGUUCUUAAGGGUAGAAAAUUAGGGGUUUGGGUAGAGUAAGUGCCUUUUGUAUAUUUGGGAUUUAGACCUUGGUUUGGGGUCGAAUUUUGGAACUAAUUAUAUAUUUCGGGCUCGUGGGUGAAUGGGCGAUCGGGUUUUGGUCCAAACCUCGUAUUUUGGCCAAGCCGGCCCUGGGUCAAUUUUUGGCUUUUUGAGAAGAAUGAUAAGAAAUCUAUAAUUAAGCAUUGGAAUUAGAUUGUUUAGCCUUUAUUGAUGAUAUUAAGUCGAUUAUGUCUAGAUACAUUUGAUUUCGAGCCAAAUUCAAAAGGAAAGGUGGUGUUUGAGGCUUGAGUUGGCCGUGGAAGUUUGAGGUAAGUGUUUGGUCUAACCUUAGCUUGAGGGAUUAAGAGUUGUGUCCUAUUUGCUACGUGUUACCUGUUGAGUACGACGUAUAAGCAUGGUGAUGAGUAUCUAUACGUCGGUGUCGAGCAUGACCGUGAGUCUUAAAUUGAAAUUGUUGUGUUCUUAAUGAGUAAUACAAAUGUCUAAGUUGGUGAUUCUCUGUAUUGAGCAAGGAUUAUGAUUAUUCUCGUGGAAAUUAUUUAUGAUUGAGUAUUAGUAUUAGUUGAGGUAGUUAGAUGUUGGAACAAGUUUGGUUAUAGUUGUUUCUCCCUUGCGGGAUGUAUAUACUUGUACUGUCUCGAUUCCCUUGCCAGGAUAGCGUUGUUUCUUUAUUGAUCCCUUGACGGGACUCUAUUUGUGAAUUGGUAUAGAACUGUAUAUGUGGAUCGGGUUGCACGCCGCAACAAUAAUAUAAUUGGAUCGAGUUGCACGCAGCAACAGUGAUAAAUGAUAUAGAUCGGGUUGCACGUCGCAUCAAUAAUAUAAUUGGAUCGGGUUGCACGCCGCAACAGUGAUAAAUGAUAUAGAUCGGGUUGCACGUCGCAACAGUAAUAAAUGAUAUGGAUCGGGUUGCACGCCGCAACAGUAAUAAAUGAUAUGGAUCGGGUUGCACGCCGUAACAGUAUUAUUAUAUUUUGGAUCGGGUUCCGCGCCAAAACAAUAGAAAAUACGAAUUGUUUAUAGAUUGGUUGUGAGUUCUUCAUUGCUUUGUUGUAGAUUCUAAAUUGUUCCUUAUGCCUUUCUCUUAAAUUAUUGUUAGUAUUGAUAUUCCCCCGCAGCAUGUACCCCCUCCCAUAUUUACUUGUUUAUUCCUGUUUUAUUUUCUGUUGCAUAUUAUAUAACUGCACAGGUUUAUUUGGUAGUCUGGCCCUAUCCUCGUAGCUACUUCGUCGGGGUUAGGCCAUGCACUUACCAGCAUAUGGGGUUGGUUGUGCUGAUACUACACUCUGCACUAUGUGCAGAUCCCGGAGCGGCAGCGUUCGGACCGUAGCAUUUGGAUGACUGCCUUCAGUCCAGCUAGAGAUACCCAGGUAGUCCUGCAGGCGUCCGCAUGCCCGGUGUUCUCUUCUAUCUUUUAUGUAUUCUGUUUCCAUUUACUUCCGAGACAGAUUGUACUUUUCCUUUCAGACACUUGUAUGUAGUAUUCGUAGACAGUCCGUGAUAUUGUGACACCGGAUUUCGGGUAGAGACGUAUGUUGGCAUUGUCGUACUGGUUAUGGUUAAUUUAUCAGAUUAAGUCUUCCGCUUGUUUUU